AUUGAACGCUGGCGGCAUGCCUUACACAUGCAAGUCGAACGGCAGCACGGGAGCAAUCCUGGUGGCGAGUGGCGAACGGGAGAGUAGAGUAUCGGAACGUGCCCAGUCGUGGGGGAUAACGUAGCGAAAGUUACGCUAAUACCGCAUACGAUCUAUGGAUGAAAGCGGGGGAUCGCAAGACCUCGCGCGAUUGGAGCGGCCGAUAUCAGAUUAGGUAGUUGGUGGGGUAAAGGCUCACCAAGCCGACGAUCUGUAGCUGGUCUGAGAGGACGACCAGCCACACUGGGACUGAGACACGGCCCAGACUCCUACGGGAGGCAGCAGUGGGGAAUUUUGGACAAUGGGCGAAAGCCUGAUCCAGCCAUGCCGCGUGCAGGAUGAAGGCCUUCGGGUUGUAAACUGCUUUUGUACGGAACGAAAAGGUUUGGCCUAAUAAGCUGAGCUCAUGACGGUACCGUAAGAAUAAGUACCGGCUAACUACGUGCCAGCAGCCGCCGUAA
rnacentral:rRNA from 1 species